UAAGACGAACCGUGCGAACGUUAUUCGGAAUCACUGGGCUUAAAGGGUGCGUAGGCGGGCUGUCAAGUCUGGGGUGAAAUCCCGCGGCUCAACCGUGGAACUGCCUCAGAUACUGAUGGCCUCGAGGGAGGUAGGGGCAUGCGGAACUGUAGGUGGAGCGGUGAAAUGCGUUGAUAUCUACAGGAACUCCGGUGGCGAAAGCGGCGUGCUGGACCUCUUCUGACGCUGAGGCACGAAAGCUAGGGGAGCAAACGGGAUUAGAUACCCCGGUAGUCCUAGCCCUAAACGAUGGGUACUAGAUAGUAGACUAGACAUAGGUUUACUGUCGAAGCUAAAGUGCUAAGUACCCCGCCUGGGGAGUAUGGUCGCAAGGCUG
rnacentral:rRNA from 1 species